CCUACGGGUGGCAGCAGUGAGGAAUAUUGGUCAAUGGGCGCGAGCCUGAACCAGCCAAGUCGCGUGAGGGAUGACUGUCCUACGGGUUGUAAACUUCUUUUGUCAGGGAACAAAGUCGGGCACUUGUGCCUUUUUGUGUGUACUUUAUGAAUAAGGAUCGGCUAACUCCGUGCCAGCAGCCGCGGUAAUACGGAGGAUCCGAGCGUUAUCCGGAUUUAUUGGGUUUAAAGGGUGCGGAGCUGGGUGGUUAAGUCAGCUGUGAAAGGUUGGGGCUCAACCGUAAAAGUGCAAUUGAUACUGGCAGUCUUGAGUAGAGGUGAGGUAUGCGGAAUGCGCGGUGUAGCGGUGAAAUGCAUAGAUAUCACGAAGAACUCCGAUUGCGAAGGCAGCAUACCAAACUGCCACUGACACUGAGGCUCGAAAGGGUGGGUAUCGAACAGGAUUAGAUACCCGAGUAGUC
rnacentral:rRNA from 1 species